rnacentral:rRNA from 1 species
ACUCCUACGGGAGGCAGCAGUGAGGAAUAUUGGACAAUGGGUGGAAGCCUGAUCCAGCCAUCCCGCGUGCAGGAAGACGGCCCUAUGGGUUGUAAACUGCUUUUAUCUGGGGAUAAACCUACUUACGUGUAAGUAGCUGAAGGUACCAGAAGAAUAAGCACCGGCUAACUCCGUGCCAGCAGCCGCGGUAAUACGGAGGGUGCAAGCGUUAUCCGGAUUUAUUGGGUUUAAAGGGUCCGUAGGCGGACUGAUAAGUCAGUGGUGAAAUCCGACAGCUUAACUGUCGAACUGCCAUUGAUACUGUUAGUCUUGAGUAAGGUUGAAGUGGCUGGAAUAAGUAGUGUAGCGGUGAAAUGCAUAGAUAUUACUUAGAACACCAAUUGCGAAGGCAGGUCACUAAGUCUUAACUGACGCUGAUGGACGAAAGCGUGGGGAGCGAACAGGAUUAGAAACCCCUGUAGUCCCAUGAU